AUUGAACGCUGGCGGCAGGCUUAACACAUGCAAGUCGAGCGGAGAGAAGUAGCUUGCUACUGAUCUUAGCGGCGGACGGGUGAGUAAUGCUUAGGAAUCUGCCUAUUAGUGGGGGACAACAUUUCGAAAGGAAUGCUAAUACCGCAUACGUCCUACGGGAGAAAGCAGGGGAUCUUCGGACCUUGCGCUAAUAGAUGAGCCUAAGUCGGAUUAGCUAGUUGGUGGGGUAAAGGCCUACCAAGGCGACGAUCUGUAGCGGGUCUGAGAGGAUGAUCCGCCACACUGGGACUGAGACACGGCCCAGACUCCUACGGGAGGCAGCAGUGGGGAAUAUUGGACAAUGGGCGGAAGCCUGAUCCAGCUAUGCCGCGUGUGUGAAGAAGGCCUUAUGGUUGUAAAGCACUUUAAGCGAGGAGGAGGCUACUUUAGUUAAUACCUAGAGAUAGUGGACGUUACUCGCAGAAUAAGCACCGGCUAACUCUGUGCCAGCAGCCGCCGUAAGAC
rnacentral:rRNA from 1 species